GAUGAACGCUGGCGGCGUUCCUAAUACAUGCAAGUCGAGCGAACAGACGAGGAGCUUGCUCCUCUGACGUUAGCGGCGGACGGGUGAGUAACACGUGGAUAACCUACCUAUAAGACUGGGAUAACUUCGGGAAACCGGAGCUAAUACCGGAUAAUAUAUUUAACCGCAUGGUUCAAUAGUGAAAGACGGUUUUGCUGUCACUUAUAGAUGGAUCCGCGCCGCAUUAGCUAGUUGGUAAGGUAACGGCUUACCAAGGCAACGAUGCGUAGCCGACCUGAGAGGGUGAUCGGCCACACUGGAACUGAGACACGGUCCAGACUCCUACGGGAGGCAGCAGUAGGGAAUCUUCCGCAAUGGGCGAAAGCCUGACGGAGCAACGCCGCGUGAGUGAUGAAGGUCUUCGGAUCGUAAAACUCUGUUAUUAGGGAAGAACAAAUGUGUAAGUAACUAUGCACGUCUUGACGGUACCUAAUCAGAAAGCCACGGCUAACUACGUG
rnacentral:rRNA from 1 species